rnacentral:rRNA from 1 species
CCUAAGACAUGCAAGUCGAACGAAGUGAACUAAUGAAGAUGGAGUGCUUGCACAAAGUCGGAUUUAAAUUCACUUAGUGGCAGACGGGUGAGUAACACGUGGGUAAUCUACCCCAAAGACUGGGACAACAGUUAGAAAUGACUGCUAAUACCGGAUGAUUCAUAUUUAGAUAACUAGAUAUGCUAAAAGGAGCCUUUAAAGCUUCACUUUGGGAUGAGCUUGCGGCGCAUUAGCUAGUUGGUAGGGUAAUGGCCUACCAAGGCAACGAUGCGUAUCCGAGCUGAGAGGCUGAACGGACACACUGGGACUGAGACACGGCCCAGACUCCUACGGGAGACAGCAGUUAGGAAUAUUCGUCAAUGGGGGAAACCCUGAACGAGCAAUGCCGCGUGAGUGAUGAAAGGUCUUAUUGAUCGUAAAACUCUGUUGUAAGAGACGAAACCACAGUAUAGGAAAUGAUACUGUGCUGACGGUAUCUUACCAGAAAGCCCCGGCUAACUACGUGCCAGCCGCCGC